rnacentral:rRNA from 1 species
AGUGGGGAAUCUUGCGCAAUGGGCGAAAGCCUGACGCAGCCAUGCCGCGUGGAUGAUGAAGGUCUUAGGAUUGUAAAAUCCUUUCACCGGUGAAGAUAAUGACUGUAGCCGGAGAAGAAGCCCCGGCUAACUUCGUGCCAGCAGCCGCGGUAAUACGAAGGGGGCUAGCGUUGCUCGGAAUUACUGGGCGUAAAGGGAGCGUAGGCGGACAUUUAAGUCAGGGGUGAAAUCCCGAGGCUCAACCUCGGAACUGCCUUUGAUACUGGAUGUCUUGAGUGUGAGAGAGGUGAGUGGAACUCCGAGUGUAGAGGUGAAAUUCGUAGAUAUUCGGAAGAACACCAGUGGCGAAGGCGACUCACUGGCUCAUUACUGACGCUGAGGCUCGAAAGCGUGGGGAGCAAA